rnacentral:sRNA from 1 species
UAUAUAAACACCAAAGCUCCUAUUCAAGUGACUUUCUACUUCAGUCAAGCUGGAUGGAACACGUCAUGGUCACAGCAGCAGAUGCCGUUACGCGUUGAAAUCAAAGGUAUGACACAGUCCAGUACGUUUGGCAGUCUUACGACACAGGCCACGCCCAGAUAUUUUCACCAUAUGUAUGACUUCAUCAACUAUUUACCGACAGUUGACCCCACGUCUUCAGUAUUUCAACCUCCAAGAAGAGUAGCUUGUCUAAAUAGAAUCAACACACACCCACUUCCAAAAAUUCAGACAACCUUCAAGUAUAAAGCUGAGAUUGUUAAUCCAUCCACAGCUGAUGUCACUCAUUA